rnacentral:rRNA from 1 species
GGACCUGACUGCUAUCGGAUUGAUACUAAGCCAUGUGAGUCAUUGUAGCAAUACAAGGCAGACGGCUCAGUAACACGUAGCCAAUCUACCCUAUGGACGGGGAUAACCUCGGGAAACUGAGGAUAAACCCCGAUAGAUCAUUAUGCCUGGAAUGGUUAAUGGUUCAAAUGAUUCGUCGCCGUAGGAUGGGACUGCGGCCUAUCAGCUUGUUGGUGAGGUAAUGGCCCACCAAGGCUAUUACAGGUACGGGCUCUGAGAGGAGAAGCCCGGAGAUGGGUACUGAGACACGGACCCAGGCCCUAUGGGGCGCAGCAGGCGAGAAACCUUUGCAAUGUGCGCAAGCACGACAAGGUUAAUCCGAGUGUUUCCUGCUAAAGGAAUCUUUUGUUAGUCCUAAAAACACUAGCGAAUAAGGGGUGGGCAAGUUCUGGUGU